rnacentral:rRNA from 1 species
AUUGAACGCUGGCGGAAUGCUUUACACAUGCAAGUCGAACGGCAGCACGGGGGCAACCCUGGUGGCGAGUGGCGAACGGGUGAGUAAUACAUCGGAAUGUGCCCAGUCGUGGGGGAUAACUACGCGAAAGCGUAGCUAAUACCGCAUACGAUCUACGGAUGAAAGCGGGGGAUCGCAAGACCUCGCGCGAUUGGAGCGGCCGAUGGCAGAUUAGGUAGUUGGGGGGGUAAAGGGCUACCAAGCCAUCGAGCUGUAGCUGGUCUGAGAGGACGACCAGCCCCGCUGGGACUGAGACACGGCCCAGACUCCAACGGGAGGCAGCGGUGGGGAAUUUUGUACAAUGGGCGCAAGCCUGAUCCAGCCAUUCCGCGUGCAGGAUGAAGGCCUUCGGGUUGUAAACUGCUUUUGUACGGAACGAAAAGGCUCUCUCUAAUACAGGGGGCUCAUGACGGUACCGUAAGAAUAAGCACCGGCUAACUACGUGCCAGCCGCCGCCGUAAUAC